GAUGAACGCUGGCGGCGUGCUUAACACAUGCAAGUCGAACGAUGAAGCCCAGCUUGCUGGGUGGAUUAGUGGCGAACGGGUGAGUAACACGUGAGUAAACUGCCCUUAACUCUGGGAUAAGCCUGGGCAACUGGGUCUAAUACCGGAUAGGAGCGCCUACCGCAUGGUGGGUGUUGGAAAGAUUUGUCGGUUUUGGAUGGACUCGCGGCCUAUCAGCUUGUUGGUGAGGUAAUGGCUCACGACGGCGACGACGGGUAGCCGGCCUGAGAGGGGGACCGGCCACACUGGGACGGAGGCAGGGCCCAGACGCAAACGGGGGGAAGCAGGGGGAAAUAUUGCACAAUGGGCGAAGGCCUGAAACAGCGACGCCGGGUGGGGGAGGACGGCCGUCGGGUAGUAAACCUCUUUCAUUAGGGAAGAAGCGUAAUGGACGUAACCAACAAAAGAAACACGGGCUAACUACGG
rnacentral:rRNA from 1 species